CCUACGGGUGGCAGCAGUGAGGAAUAUUGGUCAAUGGGCGGAAGUCUGAACCAGCCAAGUAGCGUGCAGGAUGAAUGCCCUACGGGUUGUAAACUUCUUUUGUACGGGGAUAACAUCCUCCACGUGUGGAUGUCUGCAGGUACCUUACGAAUAAGGGUCGGCUAACUCCGUGCCAGCAGCCGCGGUAAUACGGAGGCCCCGAGCGUUAUCCGGAUUUAUUGGGUUUAAAGGGAGCGUAGGCGGACUUUUAAGUCAGCUGUAAAAGCUCGCGGCUCAACCGAGCCGAGCCGUUGAAACUGGCAGUCGUGAGUACACUAGAGGUAGGCGGAAUUCGUGGUGUAGCGGUGAAAUGCAUAGAUAUCACGAAGAACCCCGAUUGCGAAGGCAGCCUACCGGCGUGGAACUGACGCUGAGGCACGAAGGUGUGGGUAUCAAACAGGAUUAGAUACCCCUGUAGUC
rnacentral:rRNA from 1 species